rnacentral:misc_RNA from 1 species
AACCAUAGAAACCUGCGGAGUACCUGCGGAAGGAUCAUUACAGAGAAACUUGCCCCUCGGGGUAGAUCUCCACCCUUUGUUUACAAUACCACAGUUGCUUUGGCAGGCCCGUCUUUUGACCACCGGCUUCAGCUGGUCAGUGCCUGCCAGAGGAUCCUAAACUCUUAAUUUUGUAUUGUCUGAGUCUUAAAUAAUAGUUUAAAACUUUUAACAACGGAUCU